AGGAUCAUGAGGUGGAAGAGUUUAAGAAGCAGGCCGAGUGUCUGAACUUGGAAUUAGUUGGAAUCCAGAAUCCCAGCAUAGGUGCGAAAACUAAUUUAAUCAUAAAUGUUUAUGUUGUUUCUUCAAAAGUCUAACUCCUUGGAUUGUAUGUUAGUACUGUUUUAAUAUUAUGUCCUUUGAUGUAAACCCUACUCCUACAGUUUCACUUUGUAUAAAUUAAUGUAAUUAUAUUGUCUCUAUUUUGCCCUUAUGUGAAAAAGUAUCCAAAUCCCUUGAACUAUAAUUUGUCCUGAUACAACCUCAAGCUUUAAUGUCUUUGUUUAUAUAAUGGAUAAAUUCAAAGUAGUGCAUAACUGUAUAGAUAGAAGAGAAGUUACACAAAAUGUUAUUAAUUCCUUUACCACUUUCUUCAAUGAAGAAAAGACUCAAUGAAGCGCGGGUAUAUGGCGGGAGUAACUAAAUGCCUCGUCAUCUAAUUAGUGACGCACAUAAAUGGAUGAAUGAGAUUCCCACUGUCCCUAACUCCCAUCCAGCGAAACCACAGCCAAGGGAACGGGCUUGGCAGAAUCAGCGGGGAAAGAAGACCCUGUUGAGCUUGGUGGGGGCUGCAUUAUGCUGCUUGUGUAACUCCUUGU
rnacentral:ncRNA from 1 species